rnacentral:rRNA from 1 species
CAUUACCGUGAAAAAAUUAGAGUGUUCAAAGCAGGCAGAUUCAAUUGUCUGCCACCGAAUACAUUAGCAUGGGAUAAUGGAAUAGGACCCUGUCGUCCUAUGGAACUCAGUGGGUUUUGGCAGCGCGAGUACUAGGAUAAUGAUUAAUAGGGAUAGUUGGGUACAUUAAUAUUUAAGUGUCAGAGGUGAAAAAUUUCCUUGGAUUUUUAUGAAAGAUUUAAAACCUUCUGCCCGGAAAGCAUUUCUGCCAAAGGGAUGUUUUUCAUUUUAAAUCAAGAAAACGAAAGUUUUAGGAGGGGAUCGGAAAGACGAAUCAGUAUUUACCGUCCCGUAGUCCUUAAACCAAUAAACCCGAUGCCGGAACCCAGCGAAAUUUAGGAGGAACGUUGGAAAUACCAAAACACAACCAUCAGCGCGGUCGUCCUGUUCGUUCGCUUUCGGCGGUUUCGGUGUUUUCAACGCCAACGGAGGCGCCGGAGGGGGCGGGUCUUUAGCCCCCGGAUUGGGCACCCGGGGUGGAAAUGGACCUCCCCCUAGGCAGCCUUUUGG